UGGUGGAGUGAUUUGUCUGGUUAAUUCCGAUAACGAACGAGACCUUAACCUGCUAAAUAGUGGCUGCCAUGCUUGGUUCUUGCACGGGGGGUGAGGAGGGGUUUCGGCUCUUUCUUGCUUUUCGGCGUGGGUUCCAAGAGACUUGGUACUUUUGUCACUUCUUAGAGGGACUAUUGACGUCUAGUCAAUGGAAGUUUGAGGCAAUAACA
rnacentral:rRNA from 1 species